GGACUGUAGCUCAGUGGUAAAGCAUCUGUCUUGAGUACAGAAGGUCCAGCUUCAACCCCCAACAUCUCCA